rnacentral:tRNA from 1 species
AGUAAAGUAAUCUAAAAAAAGAUGGUAAACUGUAAAUUUACUUAUGAAUAAAUAAUUCCUUUACUA